rnacentral:tRNA from 16 species
UGGGCCCGGGCUUCAAAUCCAAGGGAGCCG